rnacentral:sRNA from 1 species
CAGUAUCGGCAGGGAGGCCCCGGACAGC